GAUGAACGCUGGCGGCGUGCCUAAUACAUGCCAGUCGAGCGAACGGACGAGAAGCUUGCUUCUCUGAUGUUAGCGGCGGACGGGUGAGUAACACGUGGAUAACCUACCUAUAAGACUGGGAUAACUUCGGGAAACCGGAGCUAAUACCGGAUGAUAUUUUGAACCGCAUGGUUCAAAAGUGAAAGACGGUCUUGCUGUCACUUAUAGAUGGAUCCGCGCUGCAUUAGCUAGUUGGUAAGGUAACGGCUUACCAAGGCAACGAUGCAUAGCCGACCUGAGAGGGUGAUCGGCCACACUGGAACUGAGACACGGUCCAGACUCCUACGGGAGGCAGCAGUAGGGAAUCUUCCGCAAUGGGCGAAAGCCUGACGGAGCAACGCCGCGUGAGUGAUGAAGGUCUUCGGAUCGUAAAACUCUGUUAUUAGGGAAGAACAUAUGUGUAAGUAACUGUGCACAUCUUGACGGUACCUAAUCAGGAAGCCACGGCUAACUACGU
rnacentral:rRNA from 1 species